CGCCGCGAGCUCCUGCUCCGCCGCCAGCAACGACGUCAACUACAACGCUGGAGGUCACCGGAGGAAAUCCAGCGCCUUGCAACAAAGAGCUCAUCACCGAAGACCAACGCUGCAGUGCGUUCUUCAUUCUGUUCCACGAGACUCUGGACCAGACCACCGCGAGCAGACAGCUGGACUUCAUGUGCUCUUGGUGAAAUGACCACGUCCAGUCAGGAUCCUGUGGAGCUCAUGGGCCAUGACACCAGGACCUACUUCAGCACCUCAAAGAGAAUGGACCAAAUGUCAACUGGAAGUUUUUAUAUUAAUACAGUUUGAAAAGGAUUGUUUUCCUAGUAUAUUCACAAAAGCUCAGGAGUAGACAUGAACCUGUGCACAGACAUCCAUCACAUAGAGACAUGAGAACUCACUCACUCACAUACAUUCUAUUAUGUAAAUGAAUUUGCAUUUUAAAAGCAGCUGGAAAUGUUUUGUUAUUUUAUGGAUUUUUUUUUGUUCAAAAGGAACUAUGUUGCAUGUAUUUUUUAAAUAUAUUUACUUAAUUUUAGAGACAUUUGUUCAUGGGACUUAAAUGUUCUGAAAAUGUAUUAAUAAAUAUAAUUUACAACAGCAA